GAGUUUGAUCAUGGCUCAGAUUGAACGCUGGCGGAAUGCUUUACACAUGCAAGUCGAGCGGCAGCGCGGGGCAACCUGGCGGCGAGCGGCGAACGGGUGAGUAAUGCAUCGGAACAUGUCCAUGUCGUGGGGGAUAGCCCGGCGAAAGCCGGAUUAAUACCGCAUAUGCCCGAGAGGGGAAAGUGGGGACCGCAAGGCCUCACGCGAUUGGGUUGGCCGAUGUCCGAUUAGCUAGUUGGCGGGGUAAGAGCCCACCAAGGCGAUGAUCGGUAGCUGGUCUGAGAGGAUGAUCAGCCACACUGGGACUGAGACACGGCCCAGACUCCUACGGGAGGCAGCAGUGGGGAAUUUUGGACAAUGGGGAAACCCUGAUCCAGCCAUUCCGCGUGAGUGAAGAAGGCC
rnacentral:rRNA from 1 species